rnacentral:misc_RNA from 1 species
GAUGAAGAACGCAGCGAAAUGCGAUAAGUAGUGUGAAUUGCAGAAUUCAGUGAAUCAUCGAAUCUUUGAACGCACCUUGCGCUCCUUGGUAUUCCGAGGAGCAUGCCUGUUUGAGUGUCAUGAAAUUCUCAACCUUUCUGGCUUUUGCUAGUCAGGCUUGGAUUAUGGGAGCUGCUGGCUUUUGAAGUCGGCUCUUCUAAAAUGUAUUAGCAAGAUCAUUGCUGCUCAUCAUUGGUAUGAUAAUUAUCUAUAUCAUUGAGAGUCAGUUUCCUUUAUUGGAAGAUUUUGCUCCUAACGGUCUUUAGCAAGACAACAUUUGACGAUUUUGACCUCAAAUCAGGUAGGACUACCCGCUGAACUUAAGCAUAUCAAUAAGCGGAGGA